GGAGAGAUGCCAGAGUGGCCGAAUGGGCUGGUUUCGAAAACCAGUAUGGUCGCAAGGCCAUCCAGGGUUCGAAUCCCUGUCUCUCCGCCA
rnacentral:tRNA from 1 species